rnacentral:rRNA from 1 species
AACGAACGCUGGCGGCAUGCCUAACACAUGCAAGUCGAACGAGACCUUCGGGUCUAGUGGCGCACGGGUGCGUAACGCGUGGGAACCUGCCCUUAGGUUCGGAAUAACUCCCCGAAAGGGGUGCUAAUACCGGAUAAUGUCUUCGGACCAAAGAUUUAUCGCCUUUGGAUGGGCCCGCGUUGGAUUAGCUAGUUGGUAGGGUAAAAGCCUACCAAGGCGACGAUCCAUAGCUGGUCUGAGAGGAUGAUCAGCCACACUGGGACUGAGACACGGCCCAGACUCCUACGGGAGGCAGCAGUGGGGAAUAUUGGACGAUGGGCGAAAGCCUGAUCCAGCAAUGCCGCGUGAGUGAUGAAGGCCUUAGGGUUGUAAAGCUCUUUUACCCGGGAUGAUAAUGACAGUAACGGGAGAAUAAGCUCCGGCUAACUCCGUG